CAUUGAUUUAUGAUAAUAUUUAUAUUACUAAUCUCGAAAUUAAUUGAUGUGUUACUUUAUCAAAAAAAAAUAGAUUUUUAAAUAAGAUUUUGUUAGAUUCUUUCUCGACAUAUUUUGUUAUAAUUUUAAAAAAAUUAUAAUUGGUUUAUUAUUAAUGUAAAUAAUCAAAUGUCAUAUUAAUUAAUUCUUUAAAUGAUCCUACUAUGACUUGUUAAUAGUAGAUAAAAAUAUGACCCUAAAUUAAUAGAUUAGACGGUGAAACGAAUAUAAUCUAUAUAUGGUUCACAAUAUUAUGUUCAUAAUGCUUGUGAAAGUAAGUGUUCAAAACUUGCAGAUGUAAUGUAUGUUUAGAUUUCUGGUUGUCUGGUUAGUACUUGGUAUUAUGAAGAAGGACAAUAUGUGAAUGAAUUUGAAUUUGUUCUUAUGCAGUUAUUGAUAUGAACUAAAGCGAACACAUAAGAAUUGUUGUGAUUCAAGUAAUGAAAUGAAGUAAAAGUAAACAUGUUUGUCUAAGCAAAAUCUGUACGUAAGAUAUAAUAAGAGUUGUAUAUUGUAGUAUUCUUAUAAUAAUAGAUAACCGGCCCAGUGUUAAUUUAAUCGACAGUCAGAAUAUUGGUUUGGUUCUAUUACCCGAUAGUGGUAUGAUUUAAAUAUUACAUUGGUUAAUUUAUUAAACAGCGUUUAACUAAUAUUACAUGUAACUCUCUAGUAAGGGUCCGAAAAUUAAAAAACAACUUCGUACAUUUAUAAUAUGACUCUAUUUUACUAGAGUAGAGUAGAACAAGUUUAUUAAAUUGUUUACUAAUACCAGUGAAUAAAAAAAACCAUAAAACAAGUUUAUUAAAUUGUUUAUUAAAUUGCGGCCCUUAAAACAAGUUUAUUAAAUUGUGGUCUAAAGCAUAUGCUUCUUCUGCAUUUGCAUUAUGUAGUCUUCAAUCCCGCACCAUUUUUUUUUCCAAAACAGACUAAAAGUAAGUAUGAAGUAAAAAAUAUUUUAAUCUUAUUCCAUUUUAUAAUGGGAUUUAUUAUGCAAAUAGAAUAAUUUAUUAUUAUUUUUGUUCAUUGCAUUAUAAAGUAAGAAAUAAAAUAGGAUUAGAGUAUUUUUACUCCAUGUUUACUUUUAUUCUAUUUCGUAGAAAAAAAUUGAAUAUUACAUCAAAGAUGCUCUAAAUGACGGACCUCGUCUCUUUACAAACUAGAUAUUUGUAAUGGCUCUUGUUUUUCGUUUGUUUUGACUAUUCUCUUUCUCGAUUAUUCUGUCUUUUUGUUUCAUUCUGGCUAUAUUUUUAUUCCUUUUAGAUGCAAAUAAAUGCAUGUCUACGACUAGUUCUUUGUAUGUUUUUCAUGCAAUUCUGAUUUAUUUAUUUUUAUGAGAAUAUGAUUAAUUACUUGGUCAAAUUAAAUGGUUAGGAUCUUUCAAUUAUAAAUUUUGCUUUGUUUCCAAAUACUGUAAGAUAUAAAUUAAAGUAAUAGAGAUUUGCUAUCCAUAGAACAGUUACAAAAUUAAUUGUAUUCUCUCUUUUUAGUCAUACAAAAUGAAUUGUAUUCAAGUCAAAGCAACAAAUAUAUUACAAUGACAAUUAAUGUUUGAUUUCAUUCAUCUCAUCAUGUACAUAUAUAAUAUAUAUAUACACAAAUUAUACAUAUCAAACAACAAACAUCAGUUUUAAUUUUGAAUUCCAAGUCUAAAUAACAAAAUUGUUUAAGAGAAUGGCACAAAAGGUGUGUAUGAUAAUGAUGACACUGAUAAUGAUCGGAUGUCAUCUAAAAGCAUGCAGUGGAAUGGAAAACAUGUCAAGGGAAGGCCAUCUCACAACAAUGGAAACAAUAAGGCCGGAUGAUGUUCCAAACCCAGUAUGCAUAAGGAACUGUAGUGUUACAAGUCACAGUAAAAAAGAGUUUCAAGAUUGUAUCAUACAUUGCGGAUGAUCAGUUCUGAAUGUUCUAUGUCGAUGUAUUAAAGAUAUUUACAACUCUUUUUCGAAAAAUAAAAAUAAUAAUAAUGCAUUAUUGAACCGUUCGAAUACAACGGCAUA